rnacentral:rRNA from 1 species
UUUAAGAAGAGUUUGAUCCUAGCUCAGGAUGAACGCUGGCGGCGUGGAUAAGGCAUGCAAGUCGAACGAACCUUGUCCUUUUGAUCGAUAAAGUAACGUGGAGUAGCAAUACAAAACGAAGCGAUAUUUUGAAGAAGGACGCUGGUUAGUGGCAAACGAGGUAGUAACACGUAGAUACGUCCCCCAAAGUCGCGAAUAACUCACCGAAAGGUGUGCUAAUACGCGAUAGUCCCUCCGGGGUAAAGUUUUUCGCUUUGGGAACGGUCUGCGGGAUAUCAGCUAGUUGGUAGGGUAAAAGCCUACCAAGGCUAUGACGUCUAGAGGAGCUGAGAGGCUGACCCUCACCGAUGGGACUGAGACACGGCCCAUACACCUACGGGUGGCUGCAGUCGAGAAUCUUCCACAAUGG